UUCUUCAUCUUCAUCCUCCUCCGAACACAUCAGCUGACGGCUGGCCCCGUCAUCAUCGUCAUCGUCAUCGUCAUCAUCGCCUGUUUGCAGACAUGACUGGAUAAGACUGGAUCACACGUGACGAUCGGUGGCCGAGCUGCAGCAGAUCAGGAUGGACGUGGCCUCUCUCUGUCUUUUCCUCUAUUUGCUGAUUAAUUCUUUCGAUUCUGUUCAAGCACGAGCCUCUCUGACCGUCUCCCCUAAUAAGUCGCAGUUCUUCAAAUAUGACAGUUUCCGUGUGAGCUGCAGUGAAGACGAGUGGAGGGUGAUGAGGAGGGCGGAGGACGGAGAGGUGCACGCGUGUCUGUCCUCCUGCCCCGUCGACGUGGCCUUCCCUGACACGGACAGCGGCGUGUACUGGUGCCAGGGUGAACUGGGAGCGACCAGCAACCACGUCAACAUCACCGUCACUGGUGGUCUCUUGAUCCUGGAGAGUCCGGCGCUUCCUGUGACGGAGGGGGGCGACGUGACGCUGUACUGCAGGUCCAAAUUCAGUAGAAACAAAGCUGAUGUCCACAAAGAUGGCGUCCACUUCGCCUUGACGAGCUUCCACGGCAACCUGACCAUCCGCAACGUGUCCAAGUCGGACGAGGGACGCUACACGUGCAGCGACCCUGAGUUGGGACAGUCGCCAGAGAGCUGGCUGACCGUCGCAGGUCAGGAGGCGUCGGCGGUUUCAGCGCGAUACCGUUGGAAAGUUAAACACGCCACCUGCAGGUCCGGUUGAUCCAGCCCCACUGUCGGCCUCCUUCCUCCUGCGUCACGUCAUCGUGGGAACUCCUUAUCUGCUGACUACUGUCUUACUGGGACUCGUAUACAGGGACAGGAGGAGAGCGCUGCGAGCUCACAAGGCAAGACAACCAUCUGAUGAUGUCAUCAUGGAAAUAGCCAUAUGACAACCUGUGACAUCACACGUCAACGUGGACAUCAGAUUAUUCCCCUUUAAAAAAAAUAUGUUGUUUCCCUUAUUUUUACUCAAAGUUCUAAAUUUGUCAAACUUUGGAUUAUAAUUAUUAUUAUAUUAUAAUUAUUGUUAUUAUUAUUAUGAGGGUGUUGCAGCAACAUUGUAAUUUCAGCAUAUAAGUUAAAUUUUGCUGACAUGGAAAAUAAAGAUCUGAUCUUCAGAAGAUGAA